GGCCAGGACAGCUCCAUCCUACCCAGGGUCCAGGGCUUGAAAUGCUAGAGUCCAAGUGACACAGGUGGAAACAAACUGACCGCGUAGGAAGCGUCUUACAGGCUUCAUUUUCAAAAUCUCUCUUGUUGAAAAAGUGCUCCACAGUCUCCUCUGGUCACCAGUCAUACUGAUUUGUGUUUAUCCUUUUGGAUUUCCAGAAACUACUGGCAUUGACAGAGAAGGUUCAGGAGCAUAUUUGUCAGAAACAAGAGCCUCUCAAAUCAAGAUCUUGCUCUCUAACCUUGUCUUGGGCUAUUGGUAGCCUGUAGAUAAAUUACCCUUGGAUCAAGUUACCAUCCCUGUACAAGAAGAGUUGGCUGAGGAAGAGGAUAGACUGUGAGCAGGAAAGCUCCCCUAGAAAGCCAUGUCACCAUUCUAACCAAGUUUGAAGAUUUGCCAGAGCUCCAAAAAGAGUGGGAAAAGAACAAUCCCUUGGUCUGGAACAUCAAAGACUGGAGGAAGGCUUCCACAGUUUCUAGUGUUAUUCAAAUAGAAGUUCAAAAAAAGUUUCAUAAUAUGGUUCCCCUGCACAAAGAGCAGAAGACACCAAGAGCAUAAAAACACUCAGAACGCAAUCUGGGUUCCAAAAAUCAAGGGACAAUGCCUAGUUAAGUGGCAAAUGCAAACGGAUUUUGGGAUAAGGAGAACUCUGUGUAUUUACUGGUAAACAGACUAUUUAUUAAUGUGUACGGG
rnacentral:lncRNA from 1 species